AACAAAAAUUCGUCAAGGGCAAAGUUGCAGGUUGAUCCAUUAUCUUGUGCUAGCUCAGGCAUGUUUGUAAAUCUCAGUGUCGUUAUGCUUCGGCUUUGUGAACCUUUCUUAGAUGUCAAUUUGACAAAACGGGACAAGAUUGAUCCCCAAUAUGUGUUUUCUAGCACCCGUCUGCAACUGAGGGAGUUGACUGCUCUGCAUGCAUCAUCAGAAGAAGUCUCUGAAUAGAUAAAUCAAAAUAAUCCUGGGAAAGUUGAUGUCUCUAAAGAUGGCAGUGUUGGAAAAAAUUGGUUGUUGGCAUCUCAGGAAGCUACAAGCUCUGGGAAUGACUCUGGUGGAUCUUCAAUUCUCCACUAUAACAAUCCAAUAUCAAGUAGUGAGAAAGCUAAAUACCCCUUCAUAUGUGAAUGCUUCUUCAUGACUGCACGGGUGCUCAACCUCGGCCUCCUAAAAGCAUUUUCGGACUUUAAGCAUCUUGUUCAGGACAUUUCAAGAUGUAAAGAUGAUUUGUCUACCCUGAAAACCAUGCUAGAACAAACACCCUCGCCACAGUUGCAGCAGGAAAUAUCUCACUUGGAAAAAGAUCUUGAGUCGUAUUCACAGGAAGAAUUAUGCUAUGAAGCCCAAAUACUGAGGGAUGGAGGACUUCUCCAGCGUGCAUUAUCCUUCUACAGGUUGAUGGUUGUUUGGCUGGUCGGGCUUGUUGGUGGUUUUAAGAUGCCUUUACCUUCCCCUUGCCCUAUGGAGUUUGCAUCUAUGCCUGAGCACUUCGUUGAAGAUACCAUGGAGCUGCUAAGUUUUGCUUCUCGGAUUCCUGAAGCUUUGGAUGGUGUCUUGCUGGACGACUUCAUGAAUUUCAUUAUCUUGUUCAUGGCAAGUCCAGAAUAUAUCAGAAACCCUUACCUUAGAGCAAAGAUGGUUGAAGUUCUAAACUGUUGGAUGCCCCGUGAUAACAGCUCUCCUGCAAUGUCUACUUUGUUUGAGGGGCAUCAACUCUCUCUGCAGUACCUUGUGAAAAAUCUUUUGAAGCUUUAUGUUGACAUUGAAUUUACAGGUUCCCACACGCAGUUCUAUGAUAAAUUUAAUAUCCGCCACAACAUUGCUGAACUACUUGAAUAUCUUUGGCAAGUUCCAAGUCACCAGAAUGCAUGGAGACGGAUCGCCAAGGAGGAGGAGAAGGGUGUUUAUUUGAAUUUCUUAAACUUCUUGAUUAAUGAUAGCAUCUAUCUUCUCGAUGAAAGUCUCGGUAAAAUUCUUGAACUAAAAGAGCUGGAAGCUGAAAUGUCUGACACAGAGGAAUGGGAGCGAAAACCAGCUCAAGAAAGGCAGGAGAGAACCAGUCUAUUCCAUUCACAAGAGAAUAUAAUUCAAACUGAUAUGAAAUUGACAAAUGAAGAUGUGAGCCUGUUAGCAUUUACUUCAGAACAAAUCACUGUCCCUUUUCUUCUUCCUGAGAUGGUGGAAAGAGUUGCUAGCAUGUUGAAUUACUUCUUACUACAGCUGGUAGGUCCACAAAGAAAAUCUCUUAGCUUGAAAGACCCUGAAAAGUAUGAAUUUCGUCCGAAAGAGUUGCUCAAACAGAUUGUGAAAAUAUAUGUCCAUUUGGCGAGAGGAGAUAAGGAGAACAUCUUUCCAGCUGCAAUUAUAAGAGAUGGUCGAUCAUACAGUGAUCAGAUAUUUAGUGCUGCAGUUGAAGUCCUUGGAAGAAUUGGUGAAGAUUUGAGUAUCAUACAAGAGUUCAUCGACCUUGCUGCAAAGGCCAAGACUGCAGCUUCAGAAGCACUGGAUGCUGAGGCUGCUCUUGGAGACAUUCCUGAUGAAUUCCUUGACCCGAUCCAAUAUACUUUAAUGAAGGAUCCUGUCAUUCUUCCCUUUUCGAGGAAAACAAUGGACCGGCCUGUUAUUCAGCGGCACCUUCUUAGUCAGAGUACAGACCCAUUUAGCCGGUCUCAUCUAACUGCGGACAUGUUGAUUCCCAACACUGAGUUGAAGGCGAAAAUCGAAGAGUUCAUCCGGUCCCAUGAACCGCAGAAGACUUUGGAGGAUUAGAAUUUGUAACACACAAAUACAACCAUACAAACAACUGAUACUUGAAAUUUGAUUGAGUAGGGAUUUUCUCUUUUUUCUACAUUUACCCCUGAUCAUUGUAUUAUGUA